GUUCUCGUGGUUGAAUUAUACAACGACAGUUUUUCAAGCUGUAGGUCUCGGGGAGGUGCCGAGCGAGAAUG
rnacentral:tRNA from 1 species